rnacentral:rRNA from 1 species
UACGUAUGGUGCAAGCGUUAUCCGGAUUUACUGGGUGUAAAGGGAGCGUAGGCGGCGCGUUAAGUCUGAUGUGAAAACCCGAGGCUCAACCGCGGGAGUGCAUUGGAAACUGGCGGGCUGGAGUGCCGGAGAGGUAAGCGGAAUUCCUAGUGUGGCGGUGAAAUGCGUAGAUAUUAGGAGGAACACCAGUGGCGAAGGCGGCUUACUGGACUGUAACUGACGUUGAGGCUCGAAAGCGUGGGGAGCAAACAGG